AGAGCACAAUGUUUAGCAUUUUUAAAACACAUUGAAUUAUUUGAUUAUGUAAGACAUAACAUACGAGUCGCAAAGCAUUUUUCAUUAAUUAGAAUAUCAAACGUGCUUUCUAAAUGUAAUUUUUCUUGCAUAUUUUUAGAAAAGGCCCUGUGUCAUGUGAAUGUACUGUAUCCCACAUAUUAGUGACAUCCACCAUAGCUUCAAAAUGAAACAAUUACGAAUUAUCUCGCUCUUUUUCGUGUUUUUUUAGUUCAAGAUGUAUCUUUAUCAUAUUCAUUUGUACCUUACGAAGGAGUUGUACAAAUUACCACUGGUAGUUGGACCAAGAAUGUUUGUUGCCAAAGUUUAAAUAGCCAGGCCCAGUAUAUUGUUUGUCGUCACCUAGGAUACGACGCGGAAAGCUAUCUUGUUAAUGUGUCCGCUCCAACAGAUGCCAAAGAUGAAUCAUUUUCUGGAAAUAUAGACUGUAAUGGUGGAGAGAAGUACUUAUCCCAGUGUUCAAUUACUGCUUCGGCCAACGAAAGUUGUUCUGGGUUAUCAUACAUACGAUGUAAGUGCAUUGGUAAGAUAAAACGAAUAGGAUGCAGAUGGCAAAGAAAGGAGUAGAAAGAAAUAGAAAGUAUAGUAAUAAACGGAAGAUAGAAAGAACAAAUUAAAUGGGGUCAGCUAAUCAAAAUCUAGAAUGCAUGACUAUCUAUUUUCAUAUUUUAGGUGGUUAUGGUUUUAUGAGACCACAGUUAGAAGAUAAACGAAGAUUUCCUGAUUCGUCAUUUGGUGCUUCUGCUUCUUUAAAAGGUCACGGUGCUUCUGAUGCACGGAUAUCUAGUGGUAAUUCUUGGUGUGCUCCUGUCCUAGAAGACAAACAUUACCUUCAAGUGAAUUUGAGAAGACUAUAUUCUCUCUAUUAUGUCAUAACAUAUGGUGACAGUACCAGCCCAGCAUGGGUGGCUACGUAUAAUCUGAAUUACACCAUUGAUUUGGUGAACUGGAAAACUUUG